GACGAACGCUGGCGGCGUGCCUAAUACAUGCAAGUGGGACGCAAGGGAACACACUGUGCUUGCACACCGUGUUUUCUUGAGUCGCGAACGGGUGAGUAACGCGUAGGUAACCUGCCUAUUAGCGGGGGGUAACUAUUGGAAGCGAUAGCUAAUACCGCAUAAUAUUAAUUAUUGCAUGAUAAUUGACUGAAAGAUGCAAGCGCAUCACUAGUAGAUGGACCUGCGUUGUAUUAGCUAGUUGGUAAGGUAAGAGCUUACCAAGGCGACGAUACAUAGCCGACCUGAGAGGGUGAUCGGCCACACUGGGACUGAGACACGGCCCAGACUCCUACGGGAGGCAGCAGUAGGGAAUCUUCGGCAAUGGACGAAAGUCUGACCGAGCAACGCCGCGUGAGUGAAGAAGGUUUUCGGAUCGUAAAGCUCUGUUGUAAGUCAAGAACGUGUGUGAG
rnacentral:rRNA from 1 species